rnacentral:rRNA from 1 species
UAGGGAAUCUUCCACAAUGGACGAAAGUCUGAAUGGAGCAACGCCGCGUGAGUGAAGAAGGGUUUCGGCUCGUAAAGCUCUGUUGGUAGUGAAGAAAGAUAGAGGUAGUAACUGGCCUUUAUUUGACGGUAAUUACUUACGAAAAGUCACGGCUAACUACGUGCC